GUUUACUUUUAUGUCAUAAGCUCAUCUCGUGUUUUGAUUAUUAAUAACAAACAAAACAGAAACAUAACAGUAAACAGAAACAUAACAGUAAGGAUAAGACAAUACGAAUGUUAAGAAAUAUUUAAUGAGAAAGUGUCUCUGUAUUAAACGCCGGUGUUUCAGGGGCGAACAUUCUGUGUAUGUCAUGAGUGCCGAUCAAGAACACCUUCUGAUAUUAUCCGAGGUGUUACGAAUUUAACUUCCUUUCUCCUGCUGCAGCCGAAUUUUUUGGCGCAAAUUUUACCUUUCUUCAUUUUGUGUGAAUUUAGCAAGGAAAACAGAAAAAACAACAGCAAAAGGAUGACUUUAAUGUGGCAGUGCUGAAGGCUUUAGAAUCAGAAACAGCUUACAGAAAAGGAAAAGGACCAGAAGACUCAGCCUUUGAUGCAAAUAAUUAUGCUUGAAGAUGAUGGGAAUCUUGUGAGACUUCUUUCUUCUGCACCAGAGUCGGCACCAAAGUUGGUUGCAAUUGAGAAAGAUGAAUGUAUUGUGAACAUGGCUAUUGUUUGUGAUGGUACACACAUUCUUCUAAAGACAGCCGAUUCAAUAGGGGCCCUAGCUGUGUCGAUUGAUUUGUAUUACCUUGCAGACCUAGAUUAUUCAAAGGCAUAUUCACAGGUUGGUUAAAACAAAUUUUCAACAAAUUUUAAUUAUUAUGACUCACUUCUGUUUUUAAUGCUAAAUUUCUAUUGAUCAAUUAUGUAAUAUUGUAAUAAUAAGUCACAAAAUUUUGGUUGAUGCGCAUGCUCAUUGAAAAAUGGAGUCACUGGCAUCACAUUAUAAAAUGACAUUUUGCACUAUUCACACCACUGGUGAAGAGUGCUUUAAACUUCCUUCAUAAAAUUGCAUUGACUUGUCCAUGUGUAUGUGAUUUGCCUAUCAGACUUUUAUGCUUGUUUUUGUUGAUGUCAGUUUCAGUACACUAAGAUCUCUUUUGCGAGUUAUGAAUCAAAACUUUAUUUAAAGGAAAGAAUCGAAUUGAUCUAUCUAAGAAAAUAAAUAUCCACACUUAA